UACGUAGGGCGCAAGCGUUGUCCGGAAUUACUGGGCGUAAAGGGCGCGUAGGCGGCCUACUAAGUCAGACGUGAAAUCCCCCGGCUUAACCUGGGAACUGCGUCUGAUACUGGAAGGCUUGAGGAUGGGAGAGGGAUGUAGAAUUCCAGGUGUAGCGGUGAAAUGCGUAGAUAUCUGGAGGAACACCGAUGGCGAAGGCAGCCCCCUGGGUCAAGAUUGACGCUCAUGCACGGAAAGCGUGGGGAGCAAACGGG
rnacentral:rRNA from 1 species